rnacentral:rRNA from 1 species
CCUACGGGAGGCAGCAGUGGGGAAUAUUGCACAAUGGGGGAAACCCUGAUGCAGCGACGCCGCGUGAGUGAAGAAGGAUUUCUGUAUGUAAAGCUCUAUCAGCAGGGAAGAAAAUGAAGGUACCUGAUUAAGAAGCCCCGGCUAACUACGUGCCAGCAGCCGCGGUAAUACGUAGGGUGCAAGCGUUAUCCGGAUUUACUGGGUGUAAAGGGGGCGUAGACGGCUGCGCAAGUCUGAAGUGAAAUGCCGGGGCUUAACCCCGGAACUGCUUUUGAAACUGUGCAGCUAGAGUGCAGGCGAGGUAAGUGGAAUUCCUAGUGUAGCGGUGAAAUGCAUAGAUAUCACGCAGAACUCCGAUUGCGAAGGCAGCAUACCGGCGCUCAACUGACGCUGAUGCACGAAAGUGUGGGUAUCGAACAGGAUUAGAUACCCGGGUAGUC